UACGUAGGGUGCGAGCGUUGUCCGGAAUUAUUGGGCGUAAAGCGCUCGUAGGCGGUUUGUCGCGUCGGCCGUGAAAACUUGGGGCUUAACCCCAAGCCUGCGGUCGAUACGGGCAGACUUGAGUUCGGCAGGGGAGACUGGAAUUCCUGGUGUAGCGGUGAAAUGCGCAGAUAUCAGGAGGAACACCGGUGGCGAAGGCGGGUCUCUGGGCCGAUACUGACGCUCAGACACGACAGCAUGGGGAGCGAACGGG
rnacentral:rRNA from 1 species